AGUUCGGAUUGCAGGCUGCAACCCGCCUGUAUGAAGUUGGAGUCGCUAGUAAUCGCGGAUCAGCAUGCCGCGGUGAAUACGUUCCCGGGCCUUGUACACACCGCCCGUCACACCAUGAGAGUCGGGAACACCCGAAGUCCGUAGCCUAACCGCAAGGGGGGCGCGGCCGAAGGUGGGUUCGAUAAUUGGGGUGAAGUCGUAACAAGGUAUC
rnacentral:rRNA from 1 species